ACUCAGGGGGCUUCCCUGGUGGCGAAAUGGUUGAGAGUCCGCCUGCCGAUGCAGGGAAUACGGGUUCGUGCCCCGGUCCGGGAAGACCCCACAUGCCGCGGAGCGGCUGGGCCCAUGAGCCAUGGCCGCUGAGCCUGCGCGUCCGGAGCCUGUGUUCGCAACGGGAGAGGCCACAACAGUGAGAGGCCCGCGUACCGCAAAAAAAAAAAAAAGAAAGAAAGAAAGAAAAGAAAUGUUUACUCAGAUUGGACUUUCCUGAUUCUGGUAUUGAAAACACCAGCAGGAGGUGAUAUUCUCACUCGACUGUGAAAAGCGAAAUAAGUGCCCAAACAUCUCCGAGUAAUUGCUUUGCCUCCAGCUUUCCAGUAUUCUCUCCCCCACCCCACUACCCCCAACCCCAGUCAUUUCCCUGCAAAUGGCAUGACCAUUUUCCUUUUUUCUGGUCCAUCUGUCUAACUUCUGAUGAUGCUUCCCACUAGAUCACCUCCCUUCCUUCUCUCACAUUUUGAAUUAUGUAUAUAGAUUGAUGUGGCCUCCUUUCAUACCAUUCUUGUCCUAUGUAUAUCUUCGUUCCUCAUCCCUCUGUGCUGUUAAAUGCAAAGACAUAUUUCAGAGUGUAAGAGCCAUAUAUAUCCGUGGACAUGUUUUCAUGAUAUCACUUCACCUUCACCAGUUUCCUGUCACUCAGCACAAGACACAUGCAUUAAAAAUUUUUCUUUCACGCUGAGAAAAUAAUCUUGGAGACCAAAAAGUCUAUUGAAAAUCAGGAUGUUUCUGAAUAAGACCGCCUUGGGAGCAAUAAUGAAAAGACUUACCAAAGAUGGUCCCUGAAACCUAAACUUGAGAGAAGAUAGGGAAUGUAAAGAAUAGGUUGGAGAGCCAAGAGAGGGAGACCAGCAGAGUAUAGGAUCAAAUGUCAGUUGCCAGCAAAAAAAUACUCAACAAAGAGAGGGGCCAGGCAAAAAGAAAAUUUGCAAGAAUAUAUCCUAUUAUACAACAAAAAUUCCUAUAGGAAAGAGAGCAUAUAAGUGUGAUAUGACUGAAGGUAUUUUCAAACAGAAUACAGAACUAAUGAAACAUAAAAUGUGCAGUGUAGAGAAACAAUACAAUUGUAAGGAAUGUGGGAAAAUUUUCAGUUACUAUUCUUAAUCAUCCAAAGAGUCACCCUUUAUCUUCUCAUUUUGGAGAGAAAUCUUCUGAAUGUAAUAGUUGGAAAAUCUUCAGUGAGAAUGUAACCUUUACUCAGCAUGAGAAAAUCCACUGUGGAGAGAAACCCUUCAAAUUCAAUGACUGUGUGAAAACUUUCAGCAGGAGUUCUCUUAUUAAACAUCAGACAGUGACUCCUCUGGUGGGCCAGUGGUAAAGAAUCUGCCUUACAAUGCAGGGGAUACAGGUUCCAUCCCUGGUCAGGGAACUAAGAUCCCACAUGCCCCGGGGCAACUAAGCCUGUGUGCCACAACUACUGAGCUCUCGUGCCUCAACUAGGUCCCACAUGCCACAAACUACUGAGCCCAUGUGCCCUGGAGCCUGCGUGCCACAACUAAAGAAGAGAAAACCCGUACACCACAACUAGGGAGAAGCCCACGCACUGCAACGAAAGAUCCCGCAUGCCUCAGUGAAGAUCCCGCAUGCCACAACCAAGACCCAACACAGCC
rnacentral:lncRNA from 1 species